GUGUUAGUCUGCCGGUGGGGACUCUUGCAGGGCCGUCCCCAUGUUGCGUUUUCCGACCUGUUUCCCAUCCUUCCGGGUGGUGGGAGAGAAGCAGCUCCCGCAGGAGAUUAUUUUCCUGGUCUGGUCGCCCAAGCGGGAUCUCAUUGCUUUGGCCAACACAGCUGGCGAGGUUUUACUUCAUCGACUGGCAAGUUUUCAUCGAGUUUGGAGUUUUCCACCAAAUGAAAAUACAGGAAAGGAGUUUUGGCCUUUGCUCUUGCUGAUACCAAGAAAAUUGUUUUGUGUGAUGUAGAAAAACCUGAGAGCUUACACUCUUUUUCUGUGGAGGCUCCAGUUUCCUGUAUGCAUUGGAUGGAAGUGACAGUAGAAAGCAGUGUUCUCACAUCAUUUUAUAAUGCUGAGGAUGAAUCAAAUCUUCUCUUACCUAAACUACCUACACUGCCAAAAAACUAUAGCAACACCUCAAAAAUAUUUAGUGAAGAAAAUUCUGAUGAAAUUAUUAAGCUCUUGGGAGACGUCAGGCUUAAUAUUCUCGUCCUUGGAGGAAGCUCUGGAUUUAUUGAGCUUUA
rnacentral:lncRNA from 10 species